UACGGAGGAUCCGAGCGUUAUCCGGAUUUAUUGGGUUUAAAGGGUGCGUAGGCGGCCCGUUAAGUCAGGGGUGAAAGACGGUAGCUCAACUAUCGCAGUGCCCUUGAUACUGGCGGGCUUGAAUGGAGUAGAGGUAAGCGGAAUGAGACGAGUAGCGGUGAAAUGCAUAGAUAUGUCUCAGAACACCGGUUGCGAAGGCAGCUUACUAUGGUUCUAUUGACGCUGAGGCGCGAAAGCGUGGGGAUCGAACAGG
rnacentral:rRNA from 1 species